rnacentral:sRNA from 1 species
GCACCGGCAAAAUCCGGUGCCGGGAUUAGCCUCCUGAAACAUACUUCACUGACGACACUGAGACUUUUGU